rnacentral:rRNA from 1 species
CGUAGGUGACUGCGGAGGGAUCAUUACCCAAAUAUGAAGGCCGAUGGGGCAAAUCCUUUGUUGGGUAUGCCCUGUUUGGCGCCAUAUUCACCCAUGUCUUUUUGCGUACUACUUGUUUCCUUGGUGGGUUCGCCCGCCACUAGGACCUUUACUCAACCCUUUUUUGUGCAAUUGCCAUCAGCGUCAGCAAAACAAUGUAAUCAAUUUACAACUUUCAACAACGGAUCUCUUGGUUCUGGCAUCGAUGAAGAACGCAGCGAAAUGCGAUAAGUAGUGUGAAUUGCAGAAUUCAGUGAAUCAUCGAAUCUUUGAACGCACAUUGCGCCCUUUGGUAUUCCAAAGGGCAUGCCUGUUCGAGCGUCAUUUGUACCCUCAAGCUUUGCUUGGUGUUGGGCGUUUCUUGUCUUGGGGUCCGCCCCGGGACUCGCCUUAAAAUCAUUGGCAGCCGGCCUACUGGUUUCGGAGCGCAGCACAUUUUUGCGCUCUUGUCCAGCCACGGUCGCGCAUCCAUGAAGUACGUUUUUUUCACGUUUGACCUCGGAUCAGGUAGGGAUACCCGCUGAACUUAAGCAUAUCAAUAAGCGGAGGAAAAGAAACCAACAGGGAUUGCCCUAGUAACGGCGAGUGAAGCGGCAACAGCUCAAAUUUGAAAUCUGGCUCUUUUAGGGUCCGAGUUGUAAUUUGCAGAGGGCGCUUUGGCUUUGGCAGCGGUCCAAGUUCCUUGGAACAGGACGUCACAGAGGGUGAGAAUCCCGUACGUGGUCGCUAGCUAUUGCCGUGUAAAGCCCCUUCGACGAGUCGAGUUGUUUGGGAAUGCAGCUCUAAAUGGGAGGUAAAUUUCUUCUAAAGCUAAAUACUGGCCAGAGACCGAUAGCGCACAAGUAGAGUGAUCGAAAGAUGAAAAGCACUUUGGAAAGAGAGUCAAACAGCACGUGAAAUUGUUGAAAGGGAAGCGCUUGCAGCCAGACUUGCUUGCAGUUGCUCAUCCGGGCUUUUGCCCGGUGCACUCUUCUGCAGGCAGGCCAGCAUCAGUUUGGGCGGUGGGAUAAAGGUCUCUGUCACGUACCUCUCUUCGGGGAAGGCCUUAUAGGGGAAGACGACUUACCACCAGCCUUGGAC